CCUACGGGUGGCAGCAGUGAGGAAUAUUGGUCAAUGGACGAGAGUCUGAACCAGCCAAGUAGCGUGAAGGAUGACUGCCCUAUGGGUUGUAAACUUCUUUUAUAUGGGAAUAAAAUGUUCCACGUGUGGGAUUUUGUAUGUACCAUAUGAAUAAGGAUCGGCUAACUCCGUGCCAGCAGCCGCGGUAAUACGGAGGAUCCGAGCGUUAUCCGGAUUUAUUGGGUUUAAAGGGUGCGUAGGUGGAUUGUUAAGGCAGUUGUGAAAGUUUGGGGCUCAACCGUAAAAUUGCAGUUGAAACUGGCAGUCUUGAGUAGAGGAGAGGUAGGCGGAAUGCGUGGUGUAGCGGUGAAAUGCUUAGAUAUCACGAAGAACUCCGAUUGCGAAGGCAGUUCACUGGACUGCAACUGACACUGAGGCUCGAAAGUGUCGGUAUCAAACAGGAUUAGAUACCCUUGUAGUC
rnacentral:rRNA from 1 species